UUGGAGGGCAAGUCUGGUGCCAGCAGCCGCGGUAAUUCCAGCUCCAAUAGCGUAUAUUAAAGUUGUUGCAGUUAAAAAGCUCGUAGUUGAAUUUCGGGAUCAGAUUGUCGGUCGUGCCUCGGUACGCACUGGCAUUAUUGGUUCCUGCCUUCUGAAGAACCGCGAUGUCAUUAAUUUGGUGUCGUGGGGAAUCAGGACUGUUACUUUGAAAAAAUUAGAGUGUUUAAAGCAGGCUUACGCUUGAAUACAUUAGCAUAGAACAAUGAAAUAGGACGUUUGAUUCUAUUUUGUUGGUUUCUAGGAUUGACGUAAUGAUUAAUAGGGAUAGUUGGGGGCAUUAGUAUUCAAUUGUCAGAGGUGAAAUUCUUGGAUUUAUUGAAGACUAACUACUGCGAAAGCAUUUGCCAAGGAUGUUUUCAUUAAUCAAGAACGAAAGUUAGGGGAUCGAAGACGAUCAGAUACCGUCGAAGUCUUAACCAUAAACUAUGCCGACUAGGGAUCGGAUGAUGUUAAUUUUUUAAUGACUCAUUCGGCGCCUUACGGGAAACCAAAGUGUUUGGGUUC
rnacentral:rRNA from 1 species